UACGGAGGGUGCAAGCGUUGUCCGGAUUCAUUGGGUUUAAAGGGUGCGCAGGCGGGCGAUUAAGUCAGGGGUGAAAGACGGUUGCUCAACAAUCGCAGUGCCUUGAUACUGGUUGUCUUGGUGACCUUGAGGUAGGCGGAAUGGGUGGUGUAGCGGUGAAAUGCAUAGAUACCACCCAGAACUCCGAUUGCGAAGGCAGCCUACUGGAGGUUCACCGACGCUCAGGCACGAAAGCGUGGGGAUCAAACAGG
rnacentral:rRNA from 1 species